AGAGUUUGAUCAUGGCUCAGGACGAACGCUGGCGGCGUGCUUAACACAUGCAAGUCGAGCGGAAAGGCCCUUCGGGGUACUCGAGCGGCGAACGGGUGAGUAACACGUGAGUAACCUGCCCCUGACUCUGGGAUAAGCCUGGGAAACUGGGUCUAAUACCGGAUAUGACAUCUCCUCGCAUGAGGCGGGUGUGGAAAGUUUUUUCGGUUGGGGAUGGGCUCGCGGCCUAUCAGCUUGUUGGUGGGGUAGUGGCCUACCAAGGCGACGACGGGUAGCCGGCCUGAGAGGGCGACCGGCCACACUGGGACUGAGACACGGCCCAGACUCCUACGGGAGGCAGCAGUGGGGAAUAUUGCGCAAUGGGCGGAAGCCUGACGCAGCGACGCCGCGUGGGGGAUGACGGCCUUCGGGUUGUAAACCUCUUUCAGCAGGGACGAAGUUGACGUGUACCUGUAGAAGAAGCGCCGGCUAACUACGUGCCAGCAGCGGCGGUAAUAC
rnacentral:rRNA from 1 species